UUAAAUCAGUUAUCGUUUAUUUGAUAGUACCUUACUACUUGGAUAACCGUGGUAAUUCUAGAGCUAAUACAUGCUAAAAAUCCCGACUUCGGAAGGGAUGUAUUUAUUAGAUUAAAAACCAAUGCCCUUCGGGGCUCACUGGUGAUUCAUGAUAACUUCUCGAAUCGCAUGGCCUUGCGCCGGCGAUGGUUCAUUCAAAUUUCUGCCCUAUCAACUUUCGACGGCUGGGUCUUGGCCAGCCAUGGUGACAACGGGUAACGGAGGGUUAGGGCUCGACCCCGGAGAAGGAGCCUGAGAGACGGCUACUACAUCCAAGGAAGGCAGCAGGCGCGCAAAUUACCCAAUCCCGACACGGGGAGGUAGUGACGAUAAAUACUGAUACAGGGCUCUUUUGGGUCUUGUAAUUGGAAUGAGUACAAUUUAAAUCCCUUAACGAGGAACAAUUGGAGGGCAAGUCUGGUGCCAGCAGCCGCGGUAAUUCCAGCUCCAAUAGCGUAUAUUAAAGUUGUUGCAGUUAAAAAGCUCGUAGUUGAACCUUGGGCCUGGCUGGCCGGUCCGCCUCACCGCGUGCACUGGUCCGGCCGGGCCUUUCCCUCUGGGGAGCCGCAUGCCCUUCACUGGGCGUGUCGGGGAACCAGGACUUUUACUUUGAAAAAAUUAGAGUGUUCAAAGCAGGCCUAUGCUCGAAUACAUUAGCAUGGAAUAAUAAAAUAGGACGUGCGGUUCUAUUUUGUUGGUUUCUAGGACCGCCGUAAUGAUUAAUAGGGACAGUCGGGGGCAUCAGUAUUCAAUUGUCAGAGGUGAAAUUCUUGGAUUUAUUGAAGACUAACUACUGCGAAAGCAUUUGCCAAGGAUGUUUUCAUUAAUCAGGAACGAAAGUUAGGGGAUCGAAGACGAUCAGAUACCGUCGUAGUCUUAACCAUAAACUAUGCCGACUAGGGAUCGGACGAUGUUAUUUUUUGACUCGUUCGGCA
rnacentral:rRNA from 1 species